GACGAACGCUGGCGGCGUGCCUAAUACAUGCAAGUCGAACGCAGUGGGGACGGGUGAGUAACACGUGGGUAACCUCCCAUCAGAGGGGAUAACACUUGGAAACAGGUGCUAAACCGAUACUGAUGGAUGGAACCGCGGUGCAUUAGCUAGUUGGUGAGGUAACGACUCACCAAGGCCACGCUGCAUAGCCGACAUGAGAGGGUGUCAGCACCCACUGGGACGGAACGACGGCCCAGACAACUACGGGAGGCAGCAGUAGGGAAUCUUCGGAAAUGGACGAAAGUCUGACCGAGCAACGCCGCGUGAUCGAAGAAGGUUUUCAGAUAGUAAAACUCUGUUGUUAGAGAAGAGGUAUCUAACCAGAAAGCCACGGCUAACUACGUGCCAGCAGCCGCGGUAAUUC
rnacentral:rRNA from 1 species